rnacentral:rRNA from 1 species
CCCCGAGCGAUCUUAACAUGCAGUCGACGAGAAAGCUCUUCUUAGUGAGUAGAGUGGCAUACGGGUGAGUAAUGCAUAGGAACGUACCUUUAAGUGGGGAAGUAACCCCGGGAAACUGUGGCUAAUACCCCAUAGUCUCAAGAGAGUAAGCAUUUAUUGCCUAUAGAUCCGCCUAUGUCCCAUUAGCUGGUUGGUGGGGUAAUGGCCUACCAAGGCUACCAUGGGUAACUGGUCUGACAGGAUGAUCGGCCCCGCUGGGACUGACACACUCCCCAGACUCCUACCGGAGGCAACUUUGCGGAAUAUUGCACAAUGCUAGGAAACUCUGAUGCAGCAAUGCGACGAUGAGCUGAAGAAGGCUCUCCCGUUGUACAGCUCUUUAAACACGGAAGAGGAUCUGACGGUACCUGUAUAAUAAACACCGGCUAAUUCCGUGCCAGCAACCGCGGUAAUACAGAAGGUGCCCGCAUUGUUCGGAAUGAUUGGGCCUAAAGCGCACGUAGGCGGUUCAUUAAGUCCAUUGUGAAACCCCCCAGCUCAACUCGGGAAUUGCAACGGAAACUAAUGAUCUUGAAUACCUGAGGGGGUGGGGGAAUUCCUGGUGUAGUAGUGAAAUACGUAGAUAUCACGAGGAACACCCGAGGCUAAGGCGCCCACCUGGUGAUGUAUUGACACUAAGGUGCGAAAGCGUGAGUAGCAAACAUCGCUAGAUACCCUGGUAGUCCACGCCGUAUACGAUGGAUACUACAUGUUCGGACUGUUAACCCUCUGAGUAUCGCAGCUAACGCCUUAACUAUCCCGCCUGGGGAGUACAGUCGCAACGCCGAAACUCUAAGGAAUUGACCCGCA